AUGGUGUAUCAUGGCGCAACAAUCAUGAUAUCGAUCAAAUGGACGAAUCACAUCACAAGAGAUACAAGACCUGUUCCUGAUUUACGAAAGACAAAACUUGACACUGUGAGCAAUACCAACGCUUCGGCUGCCAACACUCUCAUGGAGCUUUCUUGGACGUCAUCAAUUUCUUCAGCUAGGAGACCGAUGAGUUUCCGGAUGAUUAGGAUGAUCUAUGAAGAACUUGCCAAUAUUCCUUAUGGUGUACAUAUUACUGGACACUUGGCACCUGAGCUCCUCGCCGGUCUCACCAGCUGUGCUCACAAGCUUGCGCAAGACUUCUAG
rnacentral:rRNA from 1 species